rnacentral:lncRNA from 1 species
UCGAGCAUUGUCGGCCAUAAGAGUGGUAAAGGAAGCGACGUCGUAUUGUUGUUGAACAGAAGGAAGACCAAAGUAGGUGUUGGUUAUAUCAUUACUGCCACAUAUAACCAUGAACAAACUGUUUUUAAUUAUGAGCUUUGUCCUUUCUUCCCCAACCAUUUUCUUCAUCUUCUCUACAUACUCUUCGAAUAACUUCAGUUGCUGCGAUAAAGCUAUUCCUCCCUUUAAGAACAACAAUGGUUUAUAUAUAAAAAGGGAACGUAACCAGCACCACCAGACGCAAAUGUUACACCGGUUAAGAGAUCUUCUGGUUUCAAAUUUGGAUUUCGAUAUGCCGUUUACAGGCUUGAGAAGUUUUCAGAGUGUUCACAAAACACAAAUGCAACUAAAAGUGUGUGUUUAGUUGUUAUCUAUUGGGGAAAUUCUCGAAAUAUAAUCAAAAUUACAUCUGAGAAAGCAACGUGAAAUUUAC